UCCCUGGUGGCUCAGAUGGCAAAGCAUCUGCCUACGAUGCAAGAGACCCGGGUUCAAUCCCCGGGUCAGGGAA